AACGCACCUUGCACUCCUUGGUAUUCCGAGGAGCAUGCCUGUUUGAGUGUCAUUAAAUUAUCAAACUUUUAACCUUUUUUGAGGUUAAAGUUUUGGAUAUGGGAUGGUGCAGGCUUUUCACAAGUCAGCUCUCCUUAAAAAUAUUAGUGAGGCUUUUGUUGACCGUCACUGGUGUGAUAAUUAUCUACGCCAUUUGAAUAGUCUUCAAUAAUUAGUCUUGCUUCUAACAGUCCUUUUGGACAAAUUGACAAAUUGACCUCAAAUCAGGUAGGACUACCCGCUGAACUUAA
rnacentral:misc_RNA from 1 species